AUUGAACGCUGGCGGCAGGCCUAACACAUGCAAGUCGAGCGAGCGGCGGGCGGGUGUGAACUGUAUGGGGACUGCCCGAUAGAGGGGGGUAACUACUGGAAACGGUAGCUAUUACCGCAUACUAUCGGAUAACCCAUAUGGGAUUAGCGAGUAGGUGGGGUAAUGGCUCACCUCGGCGACGCGCCCUAGCUGGUACGAGAGGAUGAGCAGCCACACUGGGACUGAGACACGGCCCAGACUCCUACGGAGGCAGCAGUGGGGAAUAUUGCACAAUGGGCGCAAGCCUGAUGCAGCCAUGCCGCGUGUAGGAAGAAGGCCCUAGGGUUGUAAAGUACGUUCAGUCGGGAGGCGUUACCGACAGAAGAAGCACCGGCUAACUCCGUGCCAGCAGCCGCGGUAAUAC
rnacentral:rRNA from 1 species